rnacentral:rRNA from 1 species
AUGCGGGAGGACCCAGGGCCAGAGCAAGUUGGGUUGGGGUAUAGAGCCAUAAGCGCGGUGGGGGUGACAGAGGAUGUGCUCGUACGGUUCAUAGUUGGGUAUGAUAUUCUCGUGGAUUGUUGGGAACGUCCUCUAUAUAGAGAUUGUCUUUUUUUUAUUUUGAAUAGGCCAUGGGUCAUUUUAGGCCAUCCUUGGUGCUGUCCGAAAGCGAUUCAGAUUUGA